AUUGAACGCUGGCGGCAGGCUUAACACAUGCAAGUCGAGCGGAGAGAGGUAGCUUGCUACUGAUCUUAGCGGCGGACGGGUGAGAAAUGCUUAGGAAUCUGCCUAUUAGUGGGGGACAACAUCUCGAAAGGGAUGCUAAUACCGCAUACGUCCUACGGGAGAAAGCAGGGGAUCACUUGUGACCUUGCGCUAAUAGAUGAGCCUAAGUCGGAUUAGCUAGUUGGUGGGGUAAAGGCCUACCAAGGCGACGAUCUGUAGCGGGUCUGAGAGGAUGAUCCGCCACACUGGGACUGAGACACGGCCCAGACUCCUACGGGAGGCAGCAGUGGGGAAUAUUGGACAAUGGGGGGAACCCUGAUCCAGCCAUGCCGCGUGUGUGAAGAAGGCCUUAUGGUUGUAAAGCACUUUAAGCGAGGAGGAGGCUCUUUUGGUUAAUACCCAAGAUGAGUGGACGUUACUCGCAGAAUAAGCACCGGCUAACUCUGUGCCAGCCGCCGCAGUAA
rnacentral:rRNA from 1 species